rnacentral:rRNA from 1 species
GCAGUCGACGGUAAAGAAAGCAGCUUGCUGCUUUGCUGACGAGUGGCGGACGGGUGAGUAAUGUCUGGGAAACUGCCUGAUGGAGGGGGAUAACUACUGGAAACGGUAGCUAAUACUGCAUAACGUCGCAAGACCAAAGAGGGGACCUUCGGGCCUCUUGCCAUCGGAUGUGCCCAGAUGGGAUUAGCUUGUUGGUGGGGUAACGGCUCACCAAGGCGACGAUCCCUAGCUGGUCUGAGAGGAUGACCAGCCACACUGGAACUGAGACACGGUCCAGACUCCUACGGGAGGCAGCAGUGGGGAAUAUUGCACAAUGGGCGCAAGCCUGAUGCAGCCAUGCCGCGUGUAUGAAGAAGGCCUUCGGGUUGUAAAGUACUUUCAGCGGGGAGGAAGGGAGUAAAGUUAAUACCUUUGCUCAUUGACGUUACCCGCAGAAGAAGCACCGGCUAACUCCGUGCCAGCAGCCGCGGUAAUACGGAGGGUGCAAGCGUUAAUCGGAAUUACUGGGCGUAAAGCGCACGCAGGCGGUUUGUUAAGUCAGAUGUGAAAUCCCCGGGCUCAACCUGGGAACUGCAUCUGAUACUGGCAAGCUUGAGUCUCGUAGAGGGGGGUAGAAUUCCAGGUGUAGCGGUGAAAUGCGUAGAGAUCUGGAGGAAUACCGGUGGCGAAGGCGGCCCCCUGGACGAAGACUGACGCUC